UCGGACAUCAUGUUGGGUCUUGGGGACCUGCCCGCGGUUCUUGCAGUGGCCCCGCCAGGCAAUUACUAGUUACAAGUGUCAUCAUUGACAUGGUUAACAAUCCCCCCAGUGGGGCAGGUUAGUUGGUGUCGUGGCAAGCUCAAAAAUCCAGAAGCCAUAAGCCUCCACAUAUAGAUGAAACACCGAUGCCUGCCGUGUGAAUAUAAAAAUGUCUUAUAAAUUUGCUAGAGGGAAGUAUCACGGAGCCACUUCAACGUCACAAGUCCUAAAAACGGGGAUAGAGAACCUGUAAGGGCCAUGCAGUGCUCUGCGCCCCUCCUUCCUUCUACCUUGUAGAUGCCAUGCACAGAUGCAUGCAUGGCAGAUAUCCCACAGCUAAUGACGCCGCUCCUGGAGGUCCCGCAUCCUAUCUCAGCAACCAACUGGAGCUGCGUAAGGGCCGCGGGGCCAACUUAGGGACAAUAAUGACACACGUACAUACGGCGAUGGCUUAUUUACCAGUGCUUAUAUUUUCCCUGCGUGCAUCUUUGCGGCUCACAGUUCUACUUUUCUAUCACACAUGAAGGAUGCGAUGCCCUCGUGUUUCACGUGCACCUCCAGUAACGGGCAAAAAUCCGAACACGUGGAGAGAAAACCCAGCAGCAACAGCGCAACUUGCAGUCGAAAGGGCAACACCUGCCAUCCAUAUGCUUAUUGUAUUCUGCCGGACGACCAUCGCAGCGCAACGGCAACGGUCACCAAGCCGGCAGCCGCCCACACAACCCACGGCAGCUGCGACGAUCAUAUAGAAUGAAAUCCAUGUCAACUAACACAGUGCGAUAUGUGACACCCCGCAGCAGUGCAAACCAUUCCCCCCAUUCGCGUGAGAGGCUCUCGGGCUUCAACCGCUGAAUGCAGUCCAGGACUGCAAAUGACACAUCAUACAGGCUUUGAUCAAGGGCGCUCAGAAAGGGCCCCUAACAAUAGCAAAGCCUCUGCACAUGUAAGGAAAGCUCUAGUAUGGUGUGGGACGCAGCCGCUGCUCCUAAAUGCAGACUCCACGCAACCGGGACAUUGUGGCGCAUUCACACCGAGCGUCCUUUUCCGCUCAGUUACAGCCAGGCGCUGUCCCAGCAUGGCACAGCAACACUCGUAAGCCCCUCACCCGGCACGGCAUUGGCAAUUGGCCAUUACUUAGCCAUGUCUUAACUCAGUGUCUGCCCAGUUGAAACGGGACCCGCUCACUGCAGGGGCGAUUAAUCCCAACGAUCAACCCCAGCACGAUUGCUCCCAAUCCCAACCGCUUUCUUUUGUCCUACAGCCCGCAGUAGAAUCCAUGAAUAAAUAGGAAGAAACUCUCACUCGGUGCUUUAUUUCAAAUGCUGAUCAAACUAAGACACCUAGGCGCCGGUGCAUUCGCCCGUGGCCAACAAACCUUAACUAUAAAAGAAACACGAGGGUCCACCUCGAGGAUCAACCUCGCGGUCUGAUUGGCUGUGGCAGUAACCCCAUUGACAAGCGGGGGACACACCAUGCCAUGCUCAGCCACCAGAUGCCAGAACCCAGAUCAUUAAAGAAAAACAGUCUCCGCUGCUGAUAGAAUAACAAGAAGCCGCAAUGGGCCACACACCAAUGAAUAACGCACUUCCAAAUUGAGAUGGGUAAACAUGCACCCUUACAUACAUACGUCCAUCCCCCUUGAAACCUGCCUCACACACGCUAUAAUGCCUUCCGUUCAAAUGCGUCCGAAGGGUGUCUGAAUAAGGCAGUCUAGGUUGCGUCAUGGUGUUCCAUGGCAACGGUGGGGGACAGCAAACGCCGCGUCCCAGGCACAUGGCGAACUGUAACGGUACGGAUGCAGGCACGCCAUGGAUGCAGCACCGCGCGGUCGCUGUUGCCCCUCGUUGCAUCAUAUCAGGCCGCAGCCGCCAAUAUUCCGCUCCAAUCCACUAGCCAGCAAAGGACCCCUCCCUUCAGGAUUCGUGCGUGCACCACGCUUGCAGGUCCCGGGAGCAUGCCAAGGGCAGCAACAAGAUGCCCCAGCGAUCGCCCGGAGACCCUCCACAGCGAUACACGCACCCGAAGCCGAGUUCCAGGCUCCUAGGUCCUGCCCUCCCUUCUAACUGGGCAAAACCCACGGAGCCGUGCGCUGGUGCCGAUGCUGGUGACGUGGCCAGGUUUCUCAGCUGAGGGUGCCGACUCCGAACUCACCCUCGCUCUCGCCUUCCCCGCGCCUGCCGGUUUACCCCCAUCUGAAUCGGUCUUAGGGGUCUUGUGGUUCCGCCGAGGCCAAAUGGGAUCACCCGGCCGAGGCUUUGAGACCUCGAGGCGGCAUGGCGUCGCCCUGCCCUAGUAGUAGGAAGGUGGCGAAGCCGCCCAGGCAGUUGGCACUUGCCGGCUUGCGUAAGGCGUCGCGUGCUGCGAAGCGCCGUACGGGGAAUAGGCGUAACCCUGUGGAGCUAGCGGCGGCUGCGGCCGUAGGAGUCAUCUGUUGGCUUCAUUUGCUGGCGGAGGAUAGGCGCUCGGCUGGGGUGGUGGUGGGUAGUAGGCAGGUGCGGUUGGGUAAGCAGCGAACACCGGCGGGGGUGGCUCAGGAGAAGCGACUGCCAUGUAGGGCGGCGGCAGUGCUCCGCCGUCCGGUUUCUGCAUGUUCUGAUCACCCGGAGCCACCAUGACUGCCUUCG
rnacentral:lncRNA from 1 species